rnacentral:rRNA from 1 species
GAACCACCUGAUCCCUUCCCGAACUCAGAAGUGAAACCUCUUAGCGCUGAUGGUAGUGUGGAAUUACCCAUGUGAGAGUAAGUCAUCGCCAGCU